GCAUUGGUGGCUCAGUGGUAGAAUUCUCACCUUUCAUGUGUGAGACCCAGGCUCAAUUCCUGGUCAUUCCA
rnacentral:tRNA from 1 species